rnacentral:rRNA from 1 species
CCCAAGGGUUCGGCUGUUCGCCGAUUAAAGUGGCACGCGAGCUGGGUUCAGAACGUCGUGAGACCGUUCGGUCCCUAUCUGUUGCGGGCGCAGGAGAUUUGAAGGGAGCUGUCCUUAGUACGAGAGGACCGGGAUGGACAGACCUCUGGUGCACCGGUUGUCGUGCCAACGGCACAGCCGGGUAGCUACGUCUGGACGAGAUAAACGCUGAAGGCAUCUAAGCGUGAAACUCUCCCUGAGAUAAGAUCUCCCAUCCAUUGGAGUAAGGGUCGAAGUAGACUACUUCGUUGAUAGGUCGGCGGUGUACGCACAGCAAUGUGUUCAGCCUACCGAUACUAAUAACCCGAGGGCUUGACCUA